rnacentral:rRNA from 1 species
UACGUAGGGGGCAAGCGUUGUCCGGAAUUAUUGGGCGUAAAGCGGGCGCAGGCGGUUAUGUAAGACGGGGGUGAAAUCCCCGGGCUCAACCUGGGAACUGCCUUUGUGACUGCAUAGCUAGAGUACGGUAGAGGGGGAUGGAAUUCCGCGUGUAGCAGUGAAAUGCGUAGAUAUGCGGAGGAACACCGAUGGCGAAGGCAAUCCCCUGGACCUGUACUGACGCUCAUGCACGAAAGCGUGGGGAGCAAACAGG